rnacentral:lncRNA from 1 species
CUUACUCAUCUUCUCCAUUAAACCCAAUUAAAUACUUUUCAUUUUCCUUGUGAAAAAUGCAGUUCUCUUCAUUCACUUGGACAAUCUUAAUCACAUUGGGAUGUCUUAUGCUUCGUGCGUCUCUGUCCGAUGCUCAACUUACCCCUACCUUCUACGACACUUCAUGUCCUAACGUCACCAACAUUGUAAGAGAUACCAUUGUGAACUGUAGUUUUACUCUUGACAGAGAUAAAGAAGAGAGAAAUACUCAAACUUUCAUAUUAUUAUCUCAUUGAAAAACCCUAGUACAAGCUCUCACUUUUAUAUAGACAGGAAGAACUAUCUAGAUCUUUGAUGAGGUGUCAGGUGACAGCUAUGACUCUAGAUCCAAUAGAGAUGCGAAUCUAUUUGAGAGUUGCAUUGGAUGAGCUGUCUCUGUCGUCUUCUUCCCAUUGCUUUGGCGUGAGCUUGCUCUGCUUUCAGUCAACAUUACCGUUGGAGCUUUGACUGACUGAACCUUGGACUGCUCUUGGGCUUUGUUGUUGUGAGCUGGCCCAGUUGAUGAUGAGGCUUUAACAUUCCCCCGCAAACUCGAGGUGGGUGGAAAGUCAACUCCGAGUUUGAAUCUGAGGUCAAAGAAGCUGGCUUGUGGCAGAGGCUUUGUAAAUAUGUCAGCGAGUUGCAGUGUCCCAGGAAUGUGCUUGAUGACCAGUGUUCCUUUAGCUACCAUCUCUCUUGCAUAGUGAAAGUGAGUGGCAAAGUGUUUACUUCUUGUAUGCAGAACCGGGUUUGCUGCCAAGUAGACUGCAGAAAGAUUGUCACAAUAAAUUUCAGGAGGUUUCUCUUGUGGCAGUCCUAUUUCUUGAACCAGAGCAGUGAGCCAAGACACUUCUGCAGCAGUAUCUGAGAGGAUUCUGUAUUCAGCUUCAGUUGAAGAUCUUGCUACUGAAUCCUGCCGUUUUGCAGACCAGGAUAUGAUGUUAGACCCGAGAAACGUGCAAAAACCUCCAGUAGACCUCCUUGUUUCUUUGCAACCCGCAUGAUCACUGUCACUAUAUGCUCGAAGAGUUGAAUCAGUUUCUGAAGUGAGCAUCAGUCCCAUCUUUACUGUUCCUUUCAAGUAUCUGAGAACUCUUUUCAAGAGAUUGAAAUCUGACACUGAUGGUUUAUGCAUCUUCUGACAAACGAAGUUUACUGCAUAUUGAAUAUCAGGUCUUGUUAAGGUCAGGUACUGCAAUUUACCUGCCAAUCUUCUGAAAUAGGUUGGAUCUUCAAAAAUUUUAUCUUGAUGAGGCAGUCUGUCUAGCUGAACAGGAAGUGGUGUAGGCAUUGGAGCACAGUCCAACAUACCUGCAGUUUGAAGAAGAUCCAGAGCAUAUUUUUCUUGAUUCAUGAAUAGACCUGUUGGUGUGAACUGAGCUUGAAUUCCCAGAAAAUACUUGAGAGGACCCAUAUCUUUCAUCAUAAACUUUUCAUUCAGCUUACUUAGAAGCUUUGAAACUAGGCUUGAAUCAUUUCCAGUUAGAACCAUAUCAUCCACAUACAUGAGCAACAACAACACACUCUGGUCUUGUUGAAAGAUGAACAAAGAUGGAUCUCUUUGGCUGCAUUUGAACCCAAACUCAAUCAAAUAUGAACUGAAUUUGUCGAACCAGGCCCUUGGUGCCUGUUUAAGGCCAUAAAUGGCUUUAUGAAGCAAACACACAUGAUCUGGUUUCUCUGAAUCUUCAAAGCCAGGUGGUUGCCUCAUGUAAACUGUUUCCUGCAAUUCCCCAUGUAAAAAUGCAUUCUUCACAUCUAACUGUUUAAUAUCCCAUCUUUCAGUUACUGCUGUGUGUAACACCAUUCUUAUUGUAGCUGUCCUUACUACAGGACUGUAGGUUUCCAGAAAGUCAAUGCCUUCUUCCUGUUCAUACCCUUUUGCUACUAAUCUUGCUCUGAGUUUAUCCAACGUCCCAUCAGCAUUUAGUUUUGUUUUGAAUAUCCAUCUGCAACCCAAGAGAUUUAUGUCUGGGGUUCUGGGAACCAGACUCCAAGUGUUGGUAGCAUGACAAGUUUCUAUCUCUUCUUCACAAGCUGCUGUCCAUCCCGGAUGACUUAGAGCUUCUUGAAUUGAUUUUGGCUCCUCUGGUAUCCCUUUUAUAGUGAAUAAGACAUACCUAGGAUUUGGUUUAUGAAUCCCGUGCUUCCCUCUGGUGAUCAUGGGAUGUGUGGGUGCAGCUUGAGAAGUAUCUGACUGUAAAUCCUCAGAAUUGACACAGCUUUGUUGUUGAGAUUGUUGUUGUGGUGAGUGGUGCUCAGAUUCUGUAACCUCUUGAUGUGGUGGUGUCACUGUUUCUUGUUCUGUAGGAGUAUACACCAACUCUUCUUCCACUGUUCUGUCUUGCAGACACUCUUCGAUUCUCUGAGCUGUACCCAAUGACCAUGCAUGUAGCAGAGGAGUAGUUGCAGCAGACAGUAGAUUCUUGUAAGUAUCAGUAUACGGAAAUCUUGUUUCAUCAAAGAGUACAUGUCUACUAAUGUAAACUCGACCUGUUGGAGGAUGAAGACAUCGAUACCCUUUAUACUUCUCUGUAUAGCCAAGGAAAACACACAGCAAUGACUUGGGAUCAAACUUAUUUUCACUAUACGGUCUUAAGUAUGGAUAACACGCACACCCAAAGACUCUUAGUGCAGUAUAGACUGGGCGAGUACCAUUCAAAACUUCAAAAGGACUCUGCAUCUUUUCAUGUGAGGAAGUUGGCAAGAGAUUACUCAAGAAAUUUGCAGUAAAGACAGCAUCUACCCAGAGAUUUUGUAGAAGAUGACUGUGAAACAACAUUGACAUACCUAACUCCAUUAUAUGUCUAUGCUUUCUUUCUGCAAGUCCAUUUUGUUGAGGAGUAUGAGGGCAUGAAAUGAAGUGUUGAAUACCACAGACUUUGAAGUGAUCAUGUAGUGGUCUAUUGACAAAUUCUCCUCCACCAUCACUUUGAAAAAUCUUGAUUUUGUGAUUAAACUGAUUUUCCACAAGUGUUUGAAAGCUCUUAAAAACUUCAAAAACAUCAGAUUUCAACUUUAGAGGAAAUAACCAACAAAAUCUUGAGUAAUUGUCUAUGAAUACAAUGUAAAAUCUGAAACCCUGAACUGAAGUGACUGGUGCAGGACCCCAAACAUCACAAUGUAUCCUCUCAAGUGGUUGGCUUGCUUGAAACUCUGAUCUUGAAAAAGGUAGCUUGCAUGUCUUUCCCAACUGACACGCUUCACACAUUGACUUAGUAGUCUUAUUGAAUGAAAUAGCAUUAACUGAAGAUAGGUGUUGCAUAACUUGAUGAUGAGGAUGCCCCAAUCUCUUGUGCCAAAUUACAUCACUGGUAGUCUGUUGUCUGGAUGAAUAGAACGCCAAGAAUUGAGGAUUCUCCAACUUAUACAAGCCUUUGAUUUUGCUUCCCUGACUUAGAACUUGAUUUGUCACUUUGUCCUUAACACACACAGAUUCAGAGUCAAACUCAAACUUACAGGGAUAAUCAUCUGUCAACUUAGACACUGACAAUAAAGAUUUUGCUAUUUCUGGACAUACUAACACAUCCUUAAGAGGUAAAGUGCCAGUGAUACCUGGAAGGUUGAUUGAUCCAACAUGAGUGAUAGGCAAAAAGUCACCAUUCCCCACUAUGACAGCUUCUGUUCCAUCAUAUGGCUGACUAACAUUCAGAUUUGCAGGAGUAUUCGUGAUGUGGUGAGUUGCUGCUGAGUCAGGAUACCAGCCUCCUCCAGGAUACUGAGGUGAAUCAUUCAGUUUCAUAGCCGCCAUUGCUUGAGGAAAGGUCUCUACUUCAGUCUGAAAAUUUUCAUCGAACCUUUUAUAGCACUUAUAAGCAGCAUGACCGUAUUUUCCGCAUAUCUGGCAAGUUGGACGUUGAUCAUUGGCUCCAUAAUUGUUUUUGUUGCUUCCUUGACCAAAUUGUUGCGGAAAGCCUCGGCCUUGAGUGGUAUAGGAGCUGUGACCUCGUGAACCACCCCUGUUUUGACCUCUUCCUCUACCAGAGUAGCCUCCUUUAGCAGUAUAGAAAGCUUUGUGUGAGUUUUCUUCCAUAGCAGUAUAGAAGGCUUGAUGAGGAUUCACUUCUGGUGGAGUUUCAUACUUCUGCAGCUUGUCAUCAAAGUUGGUGAGCUUGUAAAGCACAUCUUCGAAACUAGGACUUGUUGGAAGAUCCAUCGAUUCCUCAAUAACUGUGACUAUAGACUCAUAUUCCCUACCAACACCAGACAAGACACCAUAGAUUUUCUCUUGUUCAGAAAUAGGAGCACCAAUCGAGUCUAGUUGAUCACAGAGUGCUUUGAUUUCUGACAAGUACUGAGCCAGAGAUCUGGUUCCUUUAGUGGUAGUCUGAAUCUUCCUCUGAAUGUCAAGUUUUCUAGUAGCUGAAACCCGGUUAUACUUCUUAGCGAGAUAAAACCAUACCUCCUGCGAAGAUCUGAGACCGUAGACACUUUUGAGAGUGUCUUCAGACAGAGAUCCAAAGAUCCACGCCAUAAUGAGUUGAUCGGUCUGCAUCCAUUUGAGAAACUCUGGAUUGUUGGCCUCUGUGACUUGUUCUCCAUUUCUGACAACCACCGUAGGAGGAGGACGAGCCAAAGCACCUGUGACAUAGCCCAGAAGCAACUGACUGUUGAGAAACUGCUCAAACUGAAGUUUCCAAGACAAGUAAUUUGUAUCAUUUAGCUUGAGUGUGACACACUGAGAAAUAGAAAGAGUAGCUGUAGUGACAGCAGAAGGUUGUGCCGCCAUGGCUCUGAUACCAUGUAGUUUUACUCUUGACAGAGAUAAAGAAGAGAGAAAUACUCAAGCUUUCAUAUUAUUAUCUCAUUGAAAAACCCUAGUACAAGCUCUCACUUUUAUAUAGACAGGAAGAACUAUCUAGAUCUUUGAUGAGGUGUCAGGUGACAGCUAUGACUCUAGAUCCAAUAGAGAUGCGAAUCUAUUUGAGAGUUGCAUUGGAUGAGCUGUCUCUGUCGUCUUCUUCCCAUUGCUUUGGCGUGAGCUUGCUCUGCUUUCAGUCAACAUUACCGUUGGAGCUUUGACUGACUGAACCUUGGACUGCUCUUGGGCUUUGUUGUUGUGAGCUGGCCCAGUUGAUGAUGAGGCUUUAACAUGAACGAGCUAAGAUCGGACCCUCGUAUCGCCGGGAGCAUCCUUCGUCUUCACUUCCACGACUGCUUUGUUAAUGUAAGAUAUCACUUUUCAUAUAUGACACACUAUGCAGUUAGUAUAAGAUUUUCUUAAUAGUCUAUUGAAAUUUUACAAGAUCAUAAAUACCAAAGUGAGAUCUUAUACAGAUUUUUAAAAAGAUUGCCUCAGUUUUCAACCAAU